rnacentral:rRNA from 1 species
CGCGUAGGCGGUAAUGUAAGUCAGACGUGAAAUCCUUCGGCUCAACUGAAGAACUGCGUCUGAAACUGCAUGACUAGAGUGCAGAAGAGGGAAACGGAAUUCCAGGUGUAGAGGUGAAAUUCGUAGAUAUCUGGAGGAACACCGGUGGCCGAAGGCGGUUUCCUGGUCUGACACUGACGCUGAGGCGCGAAAGCGUGGGGAGCAAACAGGAUUAGAUACCCUGGUAGUCCACGCCGUAAACGGUGGGUACUGGGUGUGGGAGGUGUAAUGCCUUCUGUGCCGAAGCUAACGCGUUAAGUACCCCGCCUGGGGAGUACGGCCGCAAGGUUGAA